rnacentral:rRNA from 1 species
AGUUUUUUGGUAUUUAAUAAAAAAUAGUUUCUGCUCAGUGGUUGAUAAAUAGCCGCGGUAAUUUGACCGUGCAAAGGUAGCAUAAUCAUUUGUCUUAUAAUUGAGGGCUAGAAUGAAUGGGAGUACAAGAUUUUUUCUUUAUUUGAGAAAGAGAAUGAAUUUGAUUUUUUAGUGAAGAAGCUAAAAUUUUUUUAGGGGACAAGAAGACCCUUUUGAGCUUUAUUAAUUUUUUUUUUUAGUAACUAAGGUUAAUUUAGUUGGGGCAACUAAGGAAGAUUAAUUUUCCUUUAUUUAUUGGGAGCUAGGGUUUCUAAUUAAUAGAAUAAGUUACCAAAGGGAUAACAGCGUAAUUUUUUUUGUGAGUUCUUAUUUAAAAAGAAGAUUGCGACCUCGAUGUUGACUUAUAACUACCUUUUGGCGCAGAAGCUUAUAGGGUGGGUCUGUUCGACCUUUAAAGUUUU